AAGUUUCGACGCAGCGUCCUCCUCCUCCCGAUGCGCGUCGAUCAGACUGACAAGCUCCUCCCAAUUGUCAGUCACCUCAAAUGACGCCCGCCGGACCUCCUCCCCCGGUGGGCGUUAUUG
rnacentral:sRNA from 1 species